GCUCGUGUGGUGCAACGGCUCAACACUCAGCCCUGUCGCGGCUGCAAUCCGGGUUCGAUUCCCGGCACGGGCG
rnacentral:tRNA from 1 species